GACCUGGAACCAAAGUAACAGGGAACUGCUGGCAGUUUCAGGUGUUCAGCAGAAACCUGUCUGUUCUUAAAGGCUGCCGGCUGACGUGUUCCAGCUGAGAAAACCCAUCUCAUCCAGGCCCGCAGCCGCGAGCUCCACUGUGGCGGAUGCAGGGGCCCAGGCCCAGCCCAGGGCGAGCCACAGGGCUGUGGGCCCUGUGGGCAUGGCCCAGGUCCCCAGUGAGCUCCAGUGGUCCUCUCCCUGCGCGUCCUGCUGCUUCUCUGGAGCACCCCUACGCUCUCCUCCCUGCUCUCUUCGAGCUCACACACCUGUCUGAUGUGCCGGUGCACCCCAGGGGCACUGUGAGGAGCGUUUGACUGGGUGGGGAAGGUUCUAGCUGCCAGGGUGACUCAGGAAAAUAUCACCAACCAAGGCAGGUGCGGGGAACCACGCAGAAUGGGGUAGGAACUGGGAAUAUGAGCCCAGUGUCAAGGCCACACAAGGAGAAAGCAUGGAUUUUGCACAGAGGGGUUAGAGGCAUGUCCACGCUGGGCCCUAGGGAGGAAGGAGGACUCCAGCAGCUUCUGAAAGGGGGCAGGUGACCUGCGGCCAAGGAACCUCAAUCACAUAGCACUUGGCUUUACUUUAAAGUCACUGACUAUAUUGGACUCUAGGCCCUGAGGGGCAGGUCCAUAACCCAUCCCUGGUUUUGUCCACAAGCAGGUCCUGUCCUGGCUCAGCACACAUGCUGCAGUCAGGGGAUGAGACAGGACAAUGGUCCCCAAGAUGUCCACACCCUGACCGGGGGAACCAUACUUUGUAUGGAAAAGGGACGCUGCAUACAUGACUGAGCCAAGGGCCUUGGUGGGUUGGGGGUGGGGAGCGCUUAGCGUGGAUGGUCCAGAUGGACGCAGUGUGAGCAGAGGUCCUUUCAAGAGGGAGCUGUGAGGCGGGAAGCAGAGACGGGUGAGGGAGCACAGCACCUCCUCUCCUCUGCAGCUAGUUCGUUUACCUUCAUCACACACCGCUUCCUCUCUCAAACCUUCCCUGGCCAUCUGUAAGAAAAGCAAUGGAAAUGUCAUUUUAAGGCUUUCCACCUGGGGCUGGAAGUGGGCCCAGGACGAAAAAAGGACCAGACCGAAGUGUGUCCCCCCGAGCUCGUGCCGUCCUGGGGCCACGGGCCGGAGUGAGCCUGUCAGCACCCCGCAGACCGCUGCUUCGGGCUUGAGACACCGUCCAACUCCUUGGAGAAGGUGGGAGGAAAACGACGCUUCUUCCAGCCAGGCGGCCCGGUCCUCUGCAGAGGUCACUUCACUUCUACGACACCCACAGGGCGUGGCUCUGUGUUCCGGGAAUCGGUGUCUCUGCUAAGGGCUCACACCUGGAUUUCUGGAGCCGGCAGGUGGAGCGGGUCGUACGUUGCCACCUCCCUGCCUCUGGGACGUAUCCGGACUGUAUCCCUGUUUAUCCGGACGUCGUUAGGGCCGUGAGGCACAUGCCGGGUCGCCCCUUUACUGAACAUGCAGCCUGGAUGGGCUUCCGACUGUCUCGAGGACUGCUCUGUGGGCGAAGACAGAGGCAGGCUUAAAGCCAAAUCAGCAAGCACCUCCAGGUGGCUAGUCCUUCACAUUCAGGCCAGAAACUCGUCAGGAGCAAAGCCCCAAGAAGACGAACUAGCACUAAUUAGUGACGUGAGACAGACAUAGAGGAGCAAAUACUGUUUCCUCUCACUCGUAUGAGGCACCUGAACAGUCAAGUUCACAGAGACAGAAAGUGUAUGGUUGGAGGGG
ensembl:lncRNA